GAGUAACGCGUGAGAAUCUGGCUUCAGGUCGGGGACAACAGUUGGAAACGACUGCUAAUACCGGAUAUGCCGAGAGGUGAAAGAUUAAUUGCCUGGAGAUGAGCUCGCGUCUGAUUAGCUAGUUGGUGGGGUAAGAGCCUACCAAGGCGACGAUCAGUAGCUGGUCUGAGAGGAUGAUCAGCCACACUGGGACUGAGACACGGCCCAGACUCCUACGGGAGGCAGCAGUGGGGAAUUUUCCGCAAUGGGCGAAAGCCUGACGGAGCAAUACCGCGUGAGGGAGGAAGGCUCUUGGGUCGUAAACCUCUUUUCUCAGGGAAGAAAAAAAUGACGGUACCUGAGGAAUAAGCAUCGGCUAACUCCGUGCCAGCAGCCGCGGUAAUACGGAGGAUGCAAGCGUUAUCCGGAAUGAUUGGGCGUAAAGGGUCCGCAGGUUGCAAUGUAAGUCUGCUGUUAAAGAGUGAGGCUCAACCUCAUAAAAGCAGUGGAAACUACAUAGCUAGAGUACGUUCGGGGCAGAGGGAAUUCCUGGUGUAGCGGUG
rnacentral:rRNA from 1 species